AAAUCGUACCCCAAACCGACACAGGUGGUCAGGUAGAGAAUACCAAGGCGCUUGAGAGAACUCGGGUGAAGGAACUAGGCAAAAUGGUGCCGUAACUUCGGGAGAAGGCACGCUGGCGCGUAGGUGAGGGGACUUGCUCCCGGAGCCGAGGCCAGUCGAAGAUACCAGCUGGCUGCAACUGUUUAUUAAAAACACAGCACUGUGCAAACACGAAAGUGGACGUAUACGGUGUGACGCCUGCCCGGUGCCGGAAGG
rnacentral:rRNA from 1 species